AGUGAACGCUGGCGGCAGGCCUAACACAUGCAAGUCGAACGAACUCUUCGGAGUUAGUGGCGGACGGGUGAGUAACACGUGGGAACGUGCCUUUAGGUUCGGAAUAACUCAGGGAAACUUGUGCUAAUACCGAAUGUGCCCUUCGGGGGAAAGAUUUAUCGCCUUUAGAGCGGCCCGCGUCUGAUUAGCUAGUUGGUGAGGUAAUGGCUCACCAAGGCGACGAUCAGUAGCUGGUCUGAGAGGAUGAUCAGCCACAUUGGGACUGAGACACGGCCCAAACUCCUACGGGAGGCAGCAGUGGGGAAUCCUGCGCAAUGGGCGAAAGCCUGACGCAGCCAUGCCGCGUGAAUGAUGAAGGUCUUAGGAUUGUAAAAUUCUUUCACCGGGGACGAUAAUGACGGUACCCGGAGAAGAAGCCCCGGCUAACUUCGUGCCAGCCGCCGCCGUAA
rnacentral:rRNA from 1 species